rnacentral:rRNA from 1 species
AUUGAACGCUGGCGGCAGGCCUAACACAUGCAAGUCGAGCGAGCGGCGGACGGGUGAGUAAUGCCUGGGAAUUGCCCAGUCGAGGGGGGUAACAGUUGGAAACGACUGAUAAUACCUCAUACGAUUGUCUUGCCCAGGUGGGAUUAGCUACUUGGUGAGGUAAUGGCGCACAACGGCGACGCUCCCUAGCUGGUCUGAGAGGAUGAUCCGCCACACUGGAACUGAGACACGGUCCAGACUCCUACGGGAGGCAUCCGUGGGGAAUAUUGCACAAUGGUGGAAACCCUGAUGCAGCAAUGCCGCGUGUGUGAAGAAGGCCUUCGGGUUGUAAAGCACUUUCGGCGAGGAGGCGUUACUCGCAGAAGAAGCACCGGCUAACUCCGUGCCAGCAGCCGCGGUAAUUC